AUGGGAGGAGACUUUGUGGAGGCCUACGUGCUCAAGAACGCCUACAAGGAGAAGCUGAGGCGCAUGGACCAAGCCGAAGCCGCGGCGGCGGCGCUCGACGGCGCGAAGAAGAAUAAGGCUGCUGUUGGUGGUGGUGCGAGCAGCAGGGGAGGCUUCUUUGGCCUCAUCAAGAAGAAGGUGCACCCCAAACCCAAAGCAGCGGCGGCUACUUCCUCUUGA
rnacentral:rRNA from 1 species